rnacentral:rRNA from 1 species
GGGAAUAUUGCACAAUGGGGAAACCUGAUGCAGCGACGCAGCGUGCGGGAUGACGGCUUCGGGUUGUAAACCGCUUUCAGCAGGGAAGAAGCGCAAGUGACGGUACCUGCAGAAGAAGUACCGGCUAACUACGUGCCAGCAGCCGCGGUAAUACGUAGGGUACGAGCGUUGUCCGGAAUUAUUGGGCGUAAAGAGCUCGUAGGUGGUUGGUCACGUCUGCUGUGGAAACGCAACGCUUAACGUUGCGCGUGCAGUGGGUACGGGCUGACUAGAGUGCAGUAGGGGAGUCUGGAAUUCCUGGUGUAGCGGUGAAAUGCGCAGAUAUCAGGAGGAACACCGGUGGCGAAGGCGGGACUUUGGGCUGUAACUGACACUGAGGAGCGAAAGCAUGGGGAGCGAACAGGAUUAGAUACCCUGGUAGUCCAUGCCGUAAACGUUGGGCACUAGGUGUGGGGGGCAUUCCACGUUCUCCGCGCCGUAGCUAACGCAUUAAGUGCCCCGCCUGGGGAGUACGGUCGCAAGGCUAAAACUCAAAGGAAUUGACGGGGGCCCGCACAAGCGGCGGAGCAUGCGGAUUAAUUCGAUGCAACGCGAAGAACCUUACCAAGGCUUGACAUACACCGGACCGUCCUGGAAACAGGUCUUCUUCUUUGAAGCUGGUGUACAGGUGGUGCAUGGUUGUCGUCAGCUCGUGUCGUGAGAUGUUGGGUUAAGUCCCGCAACGAGCGCAACCCUCGUUCUAUGUUGCCAGCAUGUGAUGGUGGGAACUCAUAGGAGACUGCCGGGGUCAACUCGGAGGAAGGUGGGGAUGACGUCAAAUCAUCAUGCCCUUUAUGUCUUGGGCUUCACGCAUGCUACAAUGGCUGGUACAGAGAGAGGCGAACCCGUGAGGGCAAGCGAAUCCCUUAAAGCCAGUCUCAGUUCGGAUCGUAGUCUGCAAUUCGACUACGUGAAGUCGGAGUCGCUAGUAAUCGCAGAUCAGC